ACGCCUACAUCACGAUGAAACAUCGUUUCUCGUACGAUCACCAAAGUUAAGCGACGUCGAGCCUGGUCAGUAUCUAGAUGGGUGUCCACUUGGGAAUAUCAAG